CGCGUAGGCGGUGAGGUAAGUGAGAUGUGAAAUCCUCCGGCUCACCCGGAGACAUGCAUCUUAUACUGCUUCGCUAGAGUGCAGCAGAGGAAACGGGAAUUCCAGGUGUAGCGGUGAAAUGCGUAGAUAUCUGGAGGAACACCGGUGGCGAAGGCGCGUUUCUGGGCUGCUACUGACGCUGAUGCGCGAAAGCUGGGGGAGCGAACGGGAUUAGAUACCCCGGUAGUCCCAGCCGUAAACGGUGAACACUAGGUGUGGGGAGUAUCGACCCUCUCCGUGCCGCAGCCAACGCAUUAAGUGUUCCGCCUGGGGAGUACGGUCGCAAGGCUGAA
rnacentral:rRNA from 1 species